AGGACUAACGCUGGCGGCGUGCCUAACACAUGCAAGUCGAACGGAUUGUAGCAAUACAGUUAGUGGCAGACGGGUGAGUAACACGUAGAUAACGUACCCCUCCGCUGGGGAUAGCCACUGGAAACGGUGGGUAAAACCGAAUAGUCUGUAAUUUCUGCCUGGAAGUUACAGUAAAACUUUGGUGUGGAGGGAUCGGUUUGCGACCUAUCAGCUAGUUGGUGAGGUAAUAGCUCACCAAGGCGACGACGGGUAACCGGUCUGAGAGGACGGUCGGUCACACUGGCACUGAGAUACGGGCCAGACUCCUACGGGAGGCAGCAGUGAGGGAUUUUGCACAAUGGAGGAAACUCUGAUGCAGCGACGCCGCGUGCGGGACGAAGCCGUUUCGGGGUGUAAACCGCUGUCAGGUGGGGAAGAGGUAGGGACGGUACCCACGUGAGGAAGCCUCGGCUAACGUACGUGCCAGCAGCCGC
rnacentral:rRNA from 1 species